GCGCCAUUAGCUCAGUUGGUUAGAGCCUUUGGGUCGUAGGUUCAAGUCCUACAUGGCGAGCCA
rnacentral:tRNA from 1 species